UUCCUACUCCCUCCGUUUCAAAUUACUCGUCGCAGAAAUGGAUGUAUUUAGAACUAAAAUACAUCUAGAUACAUCCAUACCUACGACAAGUAAUUCGGAACGGAGGGAGUAGAAU
rnacentral:pre_miRNA from 1 species